UCCCUGGUGGUUCAGACGGUGAAGAAUCCGCCUGCAACGCGGGAGACCCAGGCUCGAUCCCUGGGCUGGGAA
rnacentral:tRNA from 1 species